AGCGAACGCUGGUGGCAGGCCUAACACAUGCAAGUCGAACGGACCCUUCGGGGUUAGUGGCGGACGGGUGAGUAACACGUGGGAACGUGCCUUUAGGUUCGGAAUAACUCAGGGAAACUUGUGCUAAUACCGAAUGUGCCCUUCGGGGGAAAGAUUUAUCGCCUUUAGAGCGGCCCGCGUCUGAUUAGCUAGUUGGUGAGGUAAUGGCUCACCAAGGCUACGAUCAGUAGCUGGUCUGAGAGGAUGACCAGCCACAUUGGGACUGAGACACGGCCCAAACUCCUACGGGAGGCAGCAGUGGGGAGUCUUGCGCAAUGGGCGAAAGCCUGACGCAGCCAUGCCGCGUGGAUGAUGAAGGUCUUAGGAUUGUAAAAUCCUUUCACCGGUGAAGAUAAUGACUGUAGCCGGAGAAGAAGCCCCGGCUAACUUCGUGCCAGCCGCCGCUGUAACAC
rnacentral:rRNA from 1 species